GCACACCGUGAUGGUAUUUCGUCUCGCUAUGACGGUAUUUGAGCACCUGCCAGUGUAGUUCUACACGAAACUAACCAAAGUUUCAAACCCUCAUAGCAGUUUCAGGAAAGACGGGGUGCGGAAUUUCUUCUUCUUCUUCGACGGGGAUUUGGAAGGUGACCCUUCAGGGGACAGGGCCUCCUCUAUCUUUUCAGAGCUUUUAAUGGUAAUCUCUACGCUCUCCACAGUACUAGUGGUUAACUGACUGACCCUCUUGGUGAGGUCUUCUUCCACGUCGUGUGCGUCUUCCUUGCCGUUCACCACCACCACAGGUAGCUCUGCAGAUAUGAGGUUGGCACUCUGGGUGUAGAGAUCUGCGUGAUUUUCUAGAGAACAGACAAUUUUACUGUCACUUAGCUGUGAUAUCAUGUAAAACAAACCCCAGACAAACAAACACAACAACAACAAAAGCCAACCCCAAGCUUGAAACAAAGAUGUGAGUCUGGAUUGCAAUCCAAAGAAUGAAAUCCAAAAUGCUAAGAUGUCGGCUUUUCUCCUUUAUCUGCCUGUUGUAAACAGACCUAAAAUGUUACUACCAGAUGUUGGACUGAGGAAGCUAAACUCACCUCUACCAGGUGCAUAUGCAGCUGAAGCCGUGUGUAGUACAUUACACAAACAAUAUAUAGAUACACAGUCUCAAGCAUACUUGGAAUUACAUUUUACUCCAGAGACAGGUUUACAGAAGUGCCACCAUUCCAUGCAGAAAUCUUUGGAACACUGCCCUUACCAAGUGCCUUCUUAGACCUCUCCGGAAAAGCCUCAGUCCAAACAUCUGAUCUUAAUCAUAGAGUCAUAGAAUGGCUUGGGUUGGAAGGGACUCCAUGGAUCAUCACGUUCCACUCACCAGGUGCUCGAUCAUGUUCUACAUCAGAUUGCCCAGGGCCCCAUCCAUCCUGGCCUUAAACACCUUCAGGAAUGGGGCACCCACAACCCCUCUGGGCAGCCUGUUCCAGCUCCUCGUCACCCUCUCAGUAAAAAACUUCCUCCUGACAUCUAAUCUAAAUCUCCUCUCCUUCAGUUUAAAACCAUUCCCCCUUGUCCUAUCACUAUCUACCUGCGUAAAAAGUUGAUUUCCCUCAUGCUUAUAAACUCCCUCUAAAUAUAUUGGAAGGCUGCAAUGAGGUCUCCUCAUAGCCUUCUCUUUUCCAGGCCGAACAAACCCAGUUCCUUCAGCCUGUCUUCGUAGGAGCCCUUAGAUCAUCUUCGUGGCCCUCCUCUGGACCCUCUCCAAAAGCUCCACAUCUUUCCUGUGUUAGAGGAUCACAACCAAAACCAAAACAUAUCUAUUUCCUCCUUCUCGUUUAUAACUAAGGUUCAAUACAUCGCAUGUUAUUUUCCAUUUGUGAGAAUUAUGGAUUAGAAAACCUUGGGAAAGGCAAUUUACUGGACAGAGUUGCCCCCCAGACUUUGGGAAAACAGGGCUCUUUUUUACUCAUUCAACAACAUAGAAGCAUAAAGAACUCAGCAAAAAAGCAGAUGACUCAGGUUAUGAGAGCCACCAGCAUUUUAGAGAAACUACACGGAAUACCUUCUAAUUUUUCUGGGACAUUUUGCGGGGACUGAGUUUGGGACUGAAUUUGUGACACAGAUGAACCGUCAUCUGAGAAUAAUUCCUGUUCAGCAUCUGUAGGACAAGAGUUUGAUUAGUAGCCAUGCAGAAGUAAAAACAAAGCAAGCAUGUCAGUACUAGUGGUACAAGAUUUACAGCUCUGCUAGCAUUGUGCUCUCUAUGCUGACAACAUUAAGAAGUUACAAUGCACAGUUUAAAUUACGUAGAAUGAUAGAUUUACACGUUUCAUCUGCUAACAAUCUUUUUAUAUUAGUUCAUUAGCAGAAAGCACAAAAAAGGGGGAAGGGUUGCAUUCCAUUGCAUUUCACAUAGCAUGCCCCGUGGUUUAAUCUAGCCUUAAGUCACACACGCUGCUGAUAGAAUAGGCUACCACACUAUACACCAAUGUGGUAUAUAGCCAAGUUGGUUUAUUACACAAUAAUGUGUGCAUAGUGAGUGAUACUGUCAAAAAAAACCCAACAAUGAAUUAGUCAUUUCCUACACAAUAGCAGUCCUGGAUAGAAGACGUAAAAAGUGAAAGCAGAUGAGCCUUGCACAUUGGGAGAAUAAAGGAGAAAUUAAAGAAGCAAAGAUCAAACAUCUUGCAAAACUUCUGGAGGUAAUAAAUUACAAAUGCGAGCUCAAAAAGCACUGGAAUUUGAAGGUCAGAAAGUAGAGAAUCUGUUGACAGGGCUACACCAAACGUGAAGCAGCACAGCAUAUUCGUGUUCUCAGGGAGAGCUCAGUGGGUUUUUCCUGUGAAUUCUGACACUUGAACAGACAUAAAACAAACCUUGAGAUAACAAAGAUUUUCUUCUACCUUGUCACAUUUUUCAUAAUUAAGUGGCAAAAAUCAUUUUUCAGAGAGUCAACUAUUCAUCACGUAUCAUUUAGAUAACUGAACAGAACUUCCACAAGUGCAGAAGGUUACAGAUUAGUUUACAAUCGUUAUCAUCACAGGUGGUCACAGCUCAGCUGGACAGGGUCCUCAGCAACACAAUCCAAGGUUUUUGCCUUUCAUUGCUUUAAUUUCAGCGUGAGCUGAAUUAAAUAAAGAAAAAAAAAAAUGAUUCUACUUCCUCAAGUAGAUAUGAAAUACAAAUGAACUGAUGAUAGAAAUGUAAACCCCAACCACUGACCUUCCAGCCCUAGCUGCUUGCGCUCAAUUGUUUUCUUGUACUCUUCCAGUUCCUUUUCUGUGAGAUGGCUGAAUGGGUUGGGUGGUGCUGGUGGCGCGUGCUCAUCAUCUUCAAAUUGCAUCGGCUAGGAGAAAGGAAAUUAAAAAAUUAGCAAUGAAAAAGGAAGCAAGCAACACGCACGUGGCAAUUGGUAUGAUGACUCCAAAACCUAAAGAGAGGGAAUACAGAAGAAAAAUAAACAAAAACAGCAAGGCCAAAGUUACCCUGUUUAAUGGGCAUUUACACAGUAAUGAACAUUAACCACUGUAGCUAUAAAUCACAGUUCAUUUACAGUGGUACAAUCACUAUUUGAGUGGGGUUUUGUUUUUUGUUUUAAAUGAAGGGGAACAGCUUCAAAGGAGACAUGUACCUAAAUAGCUUACUGUUCAAGGACUUAGAUUUUCUUUGGAAGUGAGAAUCUUUCAACAAUAGGUAUUCAGAUGUAACAUUUCCUAUAUUUUUUUGCAAAUACUCCAAGAAUUCUAGGAUGUCUUCAUGAGAAAGUAGCUGUGCUCAUGCUACAGUUGAGGAACCUAACUGGAAGAGGGCUUCUGAGAUUAAACUUAUAGUUACAGAAUUAAAAUAAUUCUCAUAUUGAAAGACAAUUAAUUUGGAAAAUAUUCUUUUUGACUGAAAUAAACAAGCAAACUGUAUCACUGCAAAAGAAUACUGGAAGCCAAAAUGAGGAAUCUAUUUAUAUGGUUGCCUAGAGAGGCGGUGGACACACCAUCCUUACAGAUGCCCAAGGUCAGAAUGGAGGGGCUCUGAGCACCUGAUGGAGCUGUAGGUGCCCCUGUUCACUGAAGGGGAGUUGGACCAGAUGACCUUUAUGGGCCCCUUCCAAUUCUAACGAUUCUAUGCAGUAACUCAUGGAUGGUGAGAAACGUAAAAUUAUUGAAUGCCAACUCUAGUUCAAUGUGGUUUGUUACAUACCUUAUCAGGGUUAUCCAUAUUAACCAGAAGUAACUACAUUCUAUUCAAGUCAAGGCUGGCAAGAAACCAGAAACCCUCACUCACUCCCACUCCAUUAGAAGCCUGUAUCCAAUGACAGCUGCCUUCUGCAUGGUCCCAUCCCACCUUUUAAAUUCACGUCAUUUCUGGGCCUUAAAUGCUUUUCUUUAGCAGUGAGUUCCACAGAACAAUGAGAAGUUAUUUUUGGCACUGUGCAUCGCAGAGUCCAUCAUUCUUCAGCUUAAAAGGCCUUAGAGAAGGCUCCCACUACAAUAAUAUUAAAUACAGGUAUGCCUACCAUGCAUAUCUCCAUCUGAAACUAACAUUUUAAACCUCUGAGAUAAAAAACAUGCAUCUACAUGAAUAAAACACAUUACACACUCAAAACUUGGCAUUAAAAUUACCAGUUCUAACAAAGUAUUUAGAAAGAAAAUGGCACAAAAGUGAAGCUUGAAAGAAAGCAAUGCAAAAUAACCCAAAUCCACAUAAAUCAGUGAAUUAUGCCCUACUCACUGGGCUUGGCUUCUUAUCCACAACGAUCCCAGCAAGCAGCUGAGACUGUGGUCCUGCUGUCUUCAGGUCAUAUCGAUUUUGCUCCCGAAUCUAUAGAGAGACAGACCAAAUAUAAAUAUAAGCAGAAAAAACAGAUCAGAUAAAAACAUUAUGCAGAAGAAAAAUGGGAGUCGACUAAAUAAUGAAACAGCGAACUGAGAGAAUCUUAAAGUCAUUGUCUGGAACUUGUAGCAUUAAUCUCUGGAUGACCACAAGAUGCCUUGCCAGCCCUAAGGAAGGGAGUUACUCCCUCUGACUCCAGUUCAAUCCCCACGGAUACUGAUAUGGUGCUUUCCAAGAAAUAAAAGAUUCUGUAAUCACAUGGAAAGCGUCCCAAAUAUCUGCUAGUACAGUAAAGCCCAGGGUGGAGUAUUUGGUCAGUCUAACAGUUAGCGCCUUACGUGCUGGAAGGGAAAAGCAGUGAGAUAUCUGUGAUUACAGACAGGUCCAACAAUCUUUCAUUUUCUUUUUUUUUUUUCCUUCCUUUCUAUUGCCAAAAGAGAGUGAACUGAGCCACAGACACUCCAGUGUAAUGCAUGCUAGAAGGAUUAGCACAGAGCAGAGCUCACGUGAGACUGAAUUAUGCUGUACCCGAUUUACAGCAAUUUGGUUCAUGCUGGCACCUAAUUAUCCACUAAAUAUAAUGUUAAAUGAUGGGGACUACCAUUUCCAAUCUAUCAUUUCCAGAGUUAAUGGUCAUCAAUCACCAAACUACUGCAUUCAAAAUUUGUAUGUACAUAGCAUAUUACAUACACAGUUUUUUAGUGCCAAAAUCACAUCAGAAACUUCCUACCAAAAACAGAACACUUGAAAAUUUUAGGUUACCAUCACACUUUAUUUAACAUAUAACUAUAUCUAGAAAUAGUACAGUUUUAUUCAUUACACAUCUUUUACCUUAUUUCUCUUUUCCAGCACCUCACUGGGGUUUGUGUUUAAAGGAACAAACUGGUUUGGAUCUUCAAUUUUGAUUGGUGUUCCUCCACUAGUCUUGGACGAGUCGUCAGCUUUCAUCCACUUAAAGGAAAAAAAGAAUUGCACAGCAUGAUGGGGAGGGACAAUUCUCAGUGCUGUUUUAUGGCUGAAGAGAAGAAGUAAAGAAGAGCCUUCCUGACUGUUUUCAGUUCCACACGAAAUCCAUGGAAUAUCCCCAAAUCUUCAUGAGUUUGUUCGCUUGCCAAAGGGGAUCUAAGUUGCCUUGAGCACGUACCACCCAGAUCACUUUUAAUAAACACCAAAACACACUCCUGUGUGCUAACUGCCUACUAACGAAGCUAUGUUCAGGAGGCAUCAUGCUUCCCAUCCACUAGCACACUGAUCUGCUGGUUCCAGAGCUCAUCCAUGCUCUCUCAUUUCCUCAGUCGCACAGUCAGCUUCUACCUCUGCUAAUCACACAUUUUGGAGCUUUACUCCUCUGAAGCGAGGUUUUAAAUCUGUUGCUGAGGCUAUUUCUUCCAAACACAAGUGCAAAAGAUGCUUGCUAGCCUGCCAGCAGGAGGAGCUGAUGCCUUUAUGGUUGCACCGUGCAACUCGGAGCAGGACAGCAAAUAAUGAGCUCCUCAGCCCUGCAAGAUAAGCACUGCUCUGCAGGCUGGAGACAGAGGUAGCAAGAGGAAAAGGCUCGAUCACCAUGAGUAGUAACAAGAGCAUACUCUUCAGAGCCUGUUUUUAGCAGGCUCACAAACAGGAAAAGGAUAGGUAGUGGCAAAUUAGACCUUGUAGAGACGAGAGCAACCUACAGGUGAUUUAAAACCUUCCUAUAUUUGGUGGGUAAUUUAAAACGUAAAAACAUACAGCAGCAACAUUAUUUUCUGUCUUAGGAAUUGGAGGAGCUAGGUGCAAAGGGAAAAUAAUUCUUUAUUUUUUAACAUUAACUGUUGCUUUUCCAAACAGCAAUGCCCAAAUCAUUGAGUGCCAUUAGUACUGAUGUCACUAAACCUCCCACAAACCUAUUUCCUCCUGCUUCAUUAACUGAUUUGCUAAUCCUGUCAAAGAGGUCUUGAAAGGAGCUGUGUGCAGUCUGCUUUCUCCCAAGCAGUAUAAAACCAGAACAACUGCCCCAAAGUAUUGGCCCACCGUGAUCUUGGUCCUGGGACUCGCUUCCCCGUUCCAGGACUCCUCAGGCACAUUUACUUUCAAGUACGUGUUUGGGGAGUUCAGCCAUCUUGUCUUUUCCCUCUGUUGCCUCUGCGCCAGGAAUUUCAGCGGGGAGAGCGGGACCGCAUCGUCUUCAAAGGAAAAGGCAGUCACAGUGGCUGGGAUCUCAACGUCACUCUUAUGUCUGGGCUUUUCCCUGACCAAGGGCUGCCUGUAGGCAUAGCCAGUUCUGUAUCCCUAUGGAGAAGGAAAAGGAAAAUAAUAACAAUUUAAGAAAUAAAAUUAAAAAAAAUUGAAAAAGUGACUGAAGAAGUAAUCUUUUUUUUUUUUGUGCUGCCCCAUAUGCCUUGAAUGGGUUGAGAAAUCGUUCUACCUUCAUUUUCAAACUCGCAAAGAAACCAGAAAGAAUCAUUUGCCAUACGGCAGCUGAUCCUACACUCAGAAGCUCCCAAAGGCUGCAGGGACGUUGCCACAAGUGUGCUCUCACCAGGUUGUCCAGCAUCCGCAUGAGUGCUUCAAACUCCUGCUCCCCUACUUUCCAUUUCUGCUGUGAAGACAUAUUAACUCCUCCUCCUCCACCUGCUGCCACA